AUGACUACUGCUGUGUUCGGAACUCGCAUUAGUCAUCUGGGCUCUGACGUACAUAAGAAAUUGAAGGCUGCCUAUACUCUUAUAGAGCAGUUAUAUACCGGCGUGCAACGGAUUAUCUGCACCGCUUCUCACAAUAAGCCGCCCCCAACUUUAAUCAAGGAGACUUUAGAAAGGCUGUCAAUGCUACCUGCUCGGGUAGAAGAGCUAAAGAGAUCUACUGCAAGUGCUGGUGCUUUAACCGCACUAACCCGGGCAAAAGCAUGGGUGCCCGAUCUUGAUCCGGAGGAUGUCAGCAAAGGUUAUCCAAGCUUAAAAGAAGACAGAUCAGAAUUUGGCAAUGAGGACCUCCGAGCCAUAAACCGGGAAGUACGUCCACUGGCUUGCCAAUUAGCUGAAGAAGCUGACCUUUCCUAUUAUCAGGCGAGCUACGACGUCAACAACAAACGGGUUGCUGCACCAACUCCUGAAGUUCAAAAUCUCAUCCCGCCAAUUCAUAAGCACACCUAUGCCCCUGACCUUGAACCGUCCACCCUUAUAAGCGACGAAGCUGUGUUCCAAGCCCUAACUGGGAUCGACUGGACAACUAUUGACUUCCAGCCGCUGGGUAGAGAGGAGGAGGAUGAACCGGUGCAAGAUGAUCUGCAGCCGUCAGGGUCAAGCUGGUGA
rnacentral:rRNA from 1 species